rnacentral:rRNA from 1 species
UACUCGAGUGGCGAACGGGUGAGUAACACGUGGGUGAUCUGCCCUUCACUUCGGGAUAAGCCUGGGAAACUGGGUCUAAUACUGGAUAGGACCAUCGUUUAGUGUCGGUGGUGGAAAGUUUUUUCGGUGUGGGAUGAGCUCGCGGCCUAUCAGCUUGUUGGUGGGGUAAUGGCCUACCAAGGCGUCGACGGGUAGCCGGCCUGAGAGGGUGUACGGCCACAUUGGGACUGAGAUACGGCCCAG